CGGAGGGCUCUGAUUGGGCAAGCGGCCGGACGCCGAGGCGAGAUUACGCGAGAGGCCGGGCCGCCGCCGUGGCCGCCUGCGCCGAGAAGCAUCAGUGAAGGGGAGCAUGGGGGAGAGUUGGAAAUUCUUUAAACAGCUAUUGGUGCCAAAACGAAAAAAGCUGUGUGGAGCUGUGCCCUUGAUGCUAUUGGUAAUAUGGGACAUCCAAUGUUGUUUUUCCCAGUAAGGCACAACGUCAAGCUCUUCAGUGGCUGAUUUGGAAUAUACGAUGGUCCCAAGCUGUUGUAAGGCCUGCUGCUUGGAGUGGAGAUUUCUAUCAUUGCUUUGACUAUUUCAAGAUUGUUUUCACCCUCUGUCAGUCACAAGCUGAUAAGUACUGUAGCCUAGUUAGUUAUGCUACUUAUUUUUCUCUCUCCAAAGACUAUGUGGCUAUUUCAUGUCAGACUGGAACCUGCUUUUACUGAAGGGUGGAGAACCUCUGGGUAGGGUGGAUCCCUGGCUUUCUGGGGCUGUGCCGGUGCCCCCUUCCAUGAUCUGGGGCACGUCUGGCAGCCUGACCACAGCCACGGGGUGGGAUGUGUGCCUCUUGGUGACUGGGAGUGCCUGUGGUUUGGUCCCUUGGUGGAUCUGCUUCUGGUCAUGUCAUGUGAUUAAUUGGAAUGAAAAACUGGAUGGAUUGUUCUGGUUGGUUAUUAGAGAUUUCUCAUUCCUGUUUUGGUUUUAGUCAUCUACUCAAUGACAUAUAACGAGAACCUAUUUAUUGCAACUCUUGAGGAGAAUUCCAUUACACUAGUUAAUUUGGAGAGGUAGAGAAAAAAAUCCGUUGUCUUCUAAUGUUAACCAAAACCCAAAUUCUAAAAUAAAGACGAGUUAUCAGUGUAACUGCAACUAUUUAUAUUGCAGUAGUAGAAACUCCAGGUCCCUUUUCUGUUAGGUACUGAACAGCUCAGACACAGAACAAGAGAGCUCUUUGUCUGUGAAAGUUUGUAAGUCUGAAGUGAUCCUAUAUUAUCUCUCAUCUUCUGCCUGUACUUUCUUGGGUAUGUACCUAUCUGGCUUUCUGGCUGCAGAUUUCAGAGUGAUGUAUUAAUUUUCAGACUGAUUUUCUAAUUUUAAAAUUAUAAAAAAUAUUUUUUUCUGUAUAUUGUAAGUGAAAGGAAAAGUAAAAUAUAUUGUGAACUUGGAAAGGGUUGGAAAGGAUGAGGAGAAAUAAAUAUUUUCAUAAUAGAAAAUUUUAUUUACUGAAUUUUAAUAAGAUUGCUACCCUAGAACAAAAAUAAUAAAUCUUAGUCUGAUCAAAGAGGGUUUGAUAAAGGGUUUUAUAAAAAUGUUUUAUAAAGGUAAACAUGCUUAAUCAGAUUCACUUUUUAAAUUCAGCAACUCUUAAACAGAAAUUUAUCAGCCAAAUAACUUCAUUUGGAAACAGGAAUAUUUAGGCCUUGGUGCAGGAAAGUAUUUAAUCAUAUGUUUAGGUCUAUGCCUACUUCCUUUUGAGUAUUUGUUUACAUUUCUGUAAGAUUUUGUAAAAUACAUUUUUCUAAACGAGCAAGCUAGUGACUCAGGACUUUAGAGAUCGGAGAAGGGAAGCUUGCCUGAAAAUUUCAGGUCUACACUGACUGAAAAAGAAAAUAGACAGUUUUUAUUCUGUAGAGGAAGAUUAGUUACAUGCACAUUUACCAAAACCUGGUAAAGAUUCAGGGUGCUUUAGAAACAAAGAAGGAGAUGUGGUCGGAGAAACAGGUGUGAUCUUGCCUCCAAAAUGCUUAUAGUUAGAACUGAGGCAAGACCCAUAGUAUGUUCAGAAGGAAAGAACAGAGUAAAUUGAGGAAGAAAGCAUAGUUUAAAAAAAAAAACCAACAGGUUUCACUGUUUUGAAGGUGUAGAAAAAUAUGAAUACUAGUACAGGACAUGAGGAUAAUUUCAGACUUGAAGCAACAUGGAAAAGUCGCAAAGGGAAGACAGAAGAGGAAUGAUAUCUUGCUUAAGAAGGAGAUAAGACAUCUAAGUUGGUACAAGCUAUUUUGGUACUCUCAACGGAAGAGAGGAUGGCUUGGAAAUGAGAUAAUAACGAACAGCAAGAAAAACAAGAAGUAAAAGGUAGGGUACUGUGGUUGCAGCAAGAAGUGUAUCGCUUACAGCAUUUUCUUGGCUUCUCGUUUCCACUAAUGGAAAUAUUAAAAGAAGUAGAAAAAAAAGACUUGUGGUAAAGGAUAUACUGUGUAUGUAUAUCGCACAAAUUUCAUGCAGAAUAAGAAGUACCAUAAAUGUUUCAUUAAAGGAAUAUGUAGUACUUUAUUCCUGAUGCAGUUUUCAUUUGAUUUCUUGUCUAAAUCAAUAUUUUAUUACAUAUUUUUUCAAGUCAUCUGCAGUUUAUAUAAUGCAACUGUCAUUGUAAAGCAGAUGAGCAGCAUCUGAAUGUUAGGCAAAGGCUAAGUAUCUACCAGAUAUUUACAAGAUUGUCAUAGUAAUUUUUAAAAAUGCCUGUCUUUUAAAAUUACAUCUACUUCUGCCCUGUCACAAUUAUAUGCAUGUGUUUACCACUCAGUUAUUGCAGGGGAAAAAAGUGGGAGUCAACAUGGGGGUUUUAUUCUUGUGGUGUUUAGGUUUUUUGGUUUAUUUGUUAUUUUUCUUCUAUAACCUUGGACUAAUGGGGGGAAGUCAGGAAUGAUGUUUCCCAGAAAUUUGUACCAGGCCUCUGUGCUUCAAUGUUAUCAUAAAUGAUCCCAAAGGGGGUACAAAAUGAUGUGAGAAAGUUUGUUGAUGACAGGUAAUUACUUAGAGUAAUAAAAUUGAAAAUUGACCUUUUACUUUGGAUCUGCAGAGUACUUAGUAGCUGGGUGAUAAAGCAGCAAAUGUCUUAGUAAUGUAAACUUAUUUGCCUUGAAGAAGACAGUUGAUUUUGUUUUUUUUUUUCUUUUUUUUUCAUCCCAAAUGGCAAACUCUGGACUAGCUCUUUUGUUGCUCAGAUUGUGGAUGUGUAAUAAGAAAGUUCUGUGAAAACAUCAGUGCAAUGCUCAGUGGUGGUCAAAAUAGCAAGUAUUAGGAAUAAUGGAAUUGCUAGGAAAAUGAUAGCAUAAAAUGCAAAGGAUUGUUACAUUACUGCAUAAAUCCAUUGUGCACCUGUAUCGUAAAUAUGACAUGCGGGUCUGUUCCUGUAAUGUAAUGAGUGGCAUGCUGGAGGUGAGUAGAAAUGGUCGCUAUUUCUCAUAACACAAGAAGCAAGCAAUCAGAUCAGGUGGCAGAUUCAAAGGUACAUGCUGAAUAUUGCUACCUGUCUUUCCUUGGUAUUGCGUGUUGCAAUUUCGUAGCUGUCUUCUGCUCUGCAAAGUUGUCCCACCUUUUGGUCUGGAUUGCCAAUCAGAGUUAAAGUAUAAGCUUUUUAACUGCUUUGUGGAGAAAGAUGAGGUAGGAUCUGAUGUAUCUUUGAGAGAUUAAAGUUCAGAGCAUGCUUUUCACUUACCUACACGUGAAAAGUUUAGGCACUGUGGAUGAAAAGUGCUGUUACCUUGUGUUGUGAUGAAUUGUAUGAACCGAAGGUCUUCAUUUUCCUUUAGGUUUUUAAAUAAUGGUACUUAGUUCGUGGUAAGGAUUUAUCUUUAAUUGCAUACAAAAUAAUAAUUGGUGCCAUUAGCAGCACUUGGUGUUGAAAAUACAAAAUGCAUGGCCGAAGAAUGAGUUUAGUUGUUCUAGCAAGAAAAAUCUCAAAGGAUGGGGGAAGCACACGUGAGUGCAAGGGGAUGCAGCUGAGUGUGAGUGAGUACACAUGAGCAUGGGCGUGAGACAGAGCAGGAGUUGGAGCGUAUGAGCAAACGGGCACGUGGGAUGCCUGUGAGUGAAUGUAAAGAUGCAUCAGUGUAUAUUCAUACUGGUGAGCAUGCAAGUGAGCAUAAGCAUGCACAAGCCUGAGCAAGCAUGCAGGUGAAUGUGUGUAUUGAGUGUUUUUCAGGAAAUACGCAAGUGGAGGAUUUAAACCAGAAUUCAUGGCCUUUCAUUUUUGUGCUCCACAGAUGUUUGAGGAGAGGUGGCUCUCGCUCCCCCGUCCCCUGCCUGUCUGGAGUCUAUUUGUUUUUCCCCGCUACUCUUCCAUGGGGAAUGUGUUGAGGACCGAAUCUUGUGGUGAAAGGGUAGCAAGAGCAUUUCUGGUCUGGAAGCCAUUUCCCCAACCUUUCUAGACUCUCUACAGCGUAAAGCACCCUUUUGUCCACUGUUUCAUCUGGUUAUGCUGAAAUGAAAUAUGCAUGUUUGUGGACAUCUGUAGAAUAGUGCUGGCAAUAUUUACAGUUUGGGGAGUUGAAAAUAAAACACACACACACACACAAAAAAAUCUAUGUGCUCCUUGGAACAAUGAGUUGUAGACUGAACAUGUAUUUAUUUCCUCACACUGGAAGAAGGAACAGUAUUUAGCAAGAAGUAUUGUUGGUGUCCUUGUUGGACCCCAACAUUAUCUUGUUCCUGAAAACCUUGCUGAGGAAAUUUGAAUAUUACAAGAAUGAGAGGAUAUGGUUGCAAGUUCUGCUCCAUCCUGUGUUAUUUUGGACCCUGGCCAUCAGGAAACAUUUUGUCUACUUCAGAGAUGAAACACUUUCUCUUCAGUAGUAGUAUUAUGAGCAAGAUGUGUAAAUAAUAUGUGGCGAGGGGCAACUUUAUUACAGAAAGGGAAAUCAUCUCAACUUUCCUUUCUUUGAUGAACUUCUAAAAAGAGGUUUCUCCAAAAGAUGUGCUGGGGGGAAUUUGCAUGUUUUGUAUUGAUCUAUAUAAACUCUAGUUAUAAACAUAAAAGUAGCUUAAAAGUUGUUUCACUCUGCUUCUGUCACCCUUUGUACUUUAUCAACCAUUGAUCUUUAUUCUUUGUCAAUUCAUACAUGUUUAAUACUGCAUUGCAAAUAGUUUUCCUCACCUCCAAAAGUAUUCAUAAAAAUAAGGCUGGGUGAGAAUAUUUGAAAGAGCAUUGUUUGUAAUUUUCUUGCCUCUGCUGAGCUGAGUGUCUAGAAAAUGGAAAUACGGGCUUCUACCUCCUGCAGAGGAAUGGAAAUAAAUCAUAAUGCAAGCUCUUUCAAAAGAAAUUACAUAUCCUGGAGUAGGAAAACUCAUAGAUCAGUAUAACAUUUUGUUGCAUAGCUUGAGCUUUUUCAAAAGAUGGACUCUAUAUAGACAUUUGCUUUGGUAUCUAACUAGUAAUUUUACUGAAUGUCUCUAAUUUGGAUGAAAAGUUACGUGGUUGACCUGAAUGACUCAUGUCACAGGGGUAAGUGGGGGAAGGACAGUUUGAAGCAAAGUGUACAAAAAACUAUGUGGAGAAAGAAAAUCAAGAUUGCUACAUAUUCCUGCAACUACCACUCACUUUUAAGAAUAUUUUUUGCAGAAGCAGGAAUUAAAUAGUGGUAUGAAUAUAAAAGUAAUACCUUUAAAAUAAUUUUGGAAGACGAACAUGAAAUCAAUUGUGCAACUAAAUGGCCAUCACACUAUAAUUACUUAGACACUGUUUCUUCUUGCAGGCAAUUUUGAUAUGAAAUAUUUUAUGGUUGUUAGUGUUCAUACUUAUUCUGUGAAACAGGUAAAUGUUAAGCUAGGGGUUUCAUAGAUUGUGAAGCAAAGAAGUUAUUCUAUGUUUUGGAGCAACUGCCACACUGGAAAUAAAAAACAGGAGCUUUGAUUCCAAAUCUGUUGAUACAACUUAGAAGUGGAAAAACGGCCUUGUGAACCAACACCUAAGAGCUUCCUACAAUAGGUUAGCUACAUGCUGCCUGCUUUUCUGGUGGUGACACUGGAUUAAAGGUAGCCAAUAGUGCCUUUCUUUAUGGUACUUGCUGCAGUUGCUGAAAGUGUUUACAGUUGUGAAAGGUAGUGGAGGUGGAAAUGUCUGAGAGAAAGACUGACCUAUAAAAUAGAUCAGCACAACAACAGUUCUUCUUCUGAACCUUAUUUUCUUUGCUUAUGUUGUCACAUCUUCUGGUGUCACUCCCACAUCCUUAUAUACCCUCCACCAAUAAAAAUGUAACGUACAAAGUAAAAGCUUUCAUCAGUCUAUCUGAAAGCACUCUGCAAUUGUUCCUUGUUUCACAAAACCACAGUUAUCUAACGUCCAUUUUGCAGGCUGGUGAACUAAAGCCAAGACAGACUGGUCUGCCUCAACGAACUAUCUGUUUUAAGAGCGUUACCAAACUCUUUCUGUGAGCCUCAGGCUGCAGAUGUAUAAUUUCAUCGAAGAAAUGGUGCAGGUUCAGCUACCUAAUUACAAGGUGACUGGAAAGCCUGUCUUGCAGCAAAUCCUUUUCAUCUGUCCUUGUCUGGCAUGUCUGAGCCUCUCCCCAAAACUUCUUGUGCAAAGGGACAUAGGGAGCCCCUGCAAAUCCUCCUGAAGAGUUAUUCUUCCCCAACCUACCCAACAAAUCACACAGUCUUUGUGUUGAGUGGAAUUGCUAUACUCGCAGAGAUGGAAACAAAUAUUGCUUCCCAUGCCAUUUUUAAAUUAAUACUAUUUUCUGAGGUUUCAAGGAACUUUACCAACUGACGUGACUACACAAAACUCUUUUUAGAUACUCAGAUGCAAUCUUAAGGCUUUAUCAUCUAGUCAAGGUAAAACUCCCUUCACAUUAAUGACUGCAGAUGUAGCGUCCCUCACAGGACUCAAAUUUUGGGCAAGAAUUGAUGUCUUGCAUCAAAAUACUCUGACUUCUGUACCACUAAGGAUUAGUAGUAGACUGCAAUCAAGUUAUUUAAUCGUUUAAGGGUUUUCAAAGCCAGUAAAAAUAUCAGCAUCAGAUUUUUUUUAAAUACUCAUUUACAACAACAGCCCAAAAUAUUCAUUCCCAGUGCUUAAUGAUCAGAGAGGGACAUGGGAGUUUAAGCAUGGGUUUAAAAUAAAAAAAAAAAGCUUUCAAUAAAAGCUCUAACUCUGUCAUCACAUCUGUCUGCCUUUUGCCAUUAGACAAGCAGUGUAUAUAUAUCUUUGAAGUCCUUUAUUUGCAAAGGUGCUAGUCAUGCUGUAUUAGUACUUUCUAAUCUCCAUGUAUGCACUUAGUUGAGAGCAUAAUACAUUUGUGUUUGACUGAUGAACUAAUGGUUUCUAAUGAGUUGCAGGGUCUUCAGUGUUGUAGAAGUCUGUUUUGACCCUAAAUGACUUGGGUUAGGUCGCUAAAAUGCUAAGUGGUGAAAUAACCUAGCAUGCUUGUGUGAGCUUCCUUAACCUAUAUGCUUACUUAAGAAGGGGGAAAAAAGGAAAAAAAAUACAGCAGUGGAAAAAUGUUAUUGGUGAUUACGCUCCAAAAGGUUGGUGAAUUUUCUGAAUUGCAAUAUCUGAAAGGAGAUUAAAAAUUUUUGAGUAUUUUUGAAGUAAUUUAGGGUUAAAAGGGACUUUCUGGAAACAAUCUAAUAGUUAUGGAAGAGCCUGUGGGAAGCUGAAUACCUGAGUUCUGGUCUUAACCACGUCGCACCAUGUGGCCUGGUUUUCAGAGACUGACUAUACUCUAGGGUUUGCUGCAAAUCCCCUUUAUUGAGGGGUCACAUGGAAUCUUAACAAAUUACAUUAUGAUAUACAGUCAUGGAAACAGAUAGUUUCAGCUUUUUGCUCUGGUUCGUUCAUUCGUUCUUUCUUUGUCUGAAUGCAACAUAAUAAUAGCUUUUGAGACUGCACAUAACAGAUUGUAAACUUCUGGGGAAUGUUUUAGUGAUCUGUGAGAUCAACCCUGUUAAUUUUGGUGCAAAUAGAAAAUGAGUAAAGCUUAAUUUCCACUACAAUCAGCUUAAAGAAGGAUUCUUUAAAUGCUUUCAGUGUAAGCCCUCUACAGCUGUCAGGCUCUCUGUCCUUUUCCUUAGAAAACUGUGUGGUGACUGCAAAGUUCAUGAAACUGUGAUGUGAGAAAAACUAAGCACGUAGAAGUGGUAUAAUUGAGAACAGGAUUUUUAGCCUGGCUAUUCCAAACUGUAGGAUUUGUGAUAGCAAUAAUUUUAGGAAAAAGAGAAAAAAAAAAAAAUCUGUUUCAAAUCCAUGGCUUACACCUUUAGUGAAAGCUGUAUGCAUACUUGAAGGUAUUCAGGGAAUUAUCUAAAAGGCUGGGAAUGUUUCUUGUAUUUGCAGGGUUGAAAAAAGUCCACUUCUGUCUGUCUUUAGAACAAGCUAUUAAAGUCUCUACCAAAGAGAGAGAUCAGAGAUGAUCAGUACUGCAUGUUCUCUGCUGCUUUAGGAAAAGGUAGUAGCCAGGAACUACAUUUAUAAUACUUCACUGCAUUGUAGGGCCAUUUUAUAAGACUAGCAUUUUAAUCUUUAUUCAGGUUUUAAAUCUCAUAAAGACUACCUGCUUUUAGAAAAAUUCUAGCUUUUCAACUUAAGCCUUACGGAUUUUCAAAGGUUUUUAAUAUUAGAUAGGAGAUGGGCAUUUUACUUCAUAAUCUAAUGACCAGGUUAGAGUUGGACUUGUUUUUAAUAAUGUGAGACUAAGAAGGACAGGAUGCCCUUGCUAACAGAGUAUGAACAAAUAGCUGGAGGGCCUAGCUUUUCAUUAGUUUGGUAUUUUAAUAUAUAGUCUCUCACAGGUCAAAGAUUCAGCCAGGUACCUCUGGGGGAUGCCAAAACAUUGCAGGUGGAUUCAUCCAUCAGUUUUUGUGGGAUGAAGCAAAGAUAAUUUUGUUGUUUUUAGGCUAUGCUUUCAGUGAAACCAGAGCAAAACUUCCAUGGAUUUAAAUACAAAGUCAUGCUUUUCAAUACAAGAUCAUGUUUAAUGCUACUGUGAUGUGAUUCCUGAUUUGGAUGAUGAAUUUCUGCUCUUCCAAAAGACUAUGCAGUAGUAUAUUUCUCAAGUAAAGGACCAUUACUAUUUAAAACUUAGUAUUACAUUUAUAUUUGGAAAACAAGUAAUUUUCUUAACAUUGAUACUGUGUUUGCAAAUGCUUCAAUACUGCCUGAGCUCUGCUCUUAAUUAGGAUGAGUGCUGUAUUUCUCCAUGGCCUGAUGUCACUGCUUCAUUGCAGAAGGAUGACUGCGAAUCCCGAGAAGGUUUGCUGACAGGUGAUUUCUCUGACACCUUGGAAGAUGAGAAGUGACGUUCCCAGUGUGUUCUACACACCCACACUUGGAUGCAUAAGCUCGAUCCUGACAGGGUUCCUGAUGUAUGUGGUAGAAUUAUUCUGAUGGAUGAGGAAUAUCUACAAAGACAGGGUUCGUAAUGAUGCCAGAACUGUGCGGUAUGCUGAUUAGCUGUCCUCCUUGAAGUUUCUCAGUGAGCAGUGCAUACAUGAGCAUACACUACUUUUUUUCUCCCACGCACACAAGUGCUGCGUCAAGUUAAGUGACUUGUGACACGUAUUAAUGCUGUUGGCUUCUUUCUGCUGGGGGCUGACCACUGCAAUCCUGUUUGAAAAGUUUUCCACCAAACUCGUACAUCAUUUUCAUUAAAACAGUAUCCGGUUUUGUCCCUCAAGCAUGAAUGUCUUUCUGCUUGUGAAUGUAAACGGCAAAGGCAAGCAAUAAAUCCCUUUGAAUAAUGUGCCAGUAUCUACUCUUACAUAACUGUCAUUCCUAAGCAGAAGAUGCUUAUUUACCAAUUAAAGCAUCUUGGCAAGGAUUUCAGGCAUUUUAAAUUAAUUCUGCUGCUUCCAGAACAUCCAUUAGAUAAAAUCUGAUGAAUUUGAAUCAUUGACCCUUAACCUGAAAACCAGUUUUACAAAUGUCCUCCAGGAAACACAUUGUGCGCUUAACUUCCCCUAUGAAAACUACAAAAAAUUGUAUACCAAAAUACAAGGAUUAAGGGCUAGAGCCAUGACAGAGUUAGACUUGGACAGGGAUAUGAGAACUGUCUCACUGAAGGUACUUGAUAAUUUUUUUCAGCAAUAUACACUGUGUGACUGCAAAUAAAUGCAUGACAUAAGGAAUUGUUCAAAUUUUUUUUUAAUAGUAGAGUAUUUCCAUUGACUUGCAGUGCUUAAAGAACCGGGAGGUUGUGUUACUGAUUAACAUAGGGUUACUACAUGAAGCUUCAUGCAAUUAGCUCGUACCAGAAAGGAAAUGCCAGAUUUUGUCAGUGAGAGCUUGAAUCUUUCUUGGAGCUGCAGGAAUUUGGGCAGCUGGGAGAAGACCCUGUAGCCUCUUUCUUAGCAGCCUGCCAAAGAGAUCACUGUGGAAGUCUCUUGCUCUAGAAUUCCUACUAGUAGUGCUGGUUUGGUUUGGUUAUUUUAUUUUAAUUCUUCAAUAUGGGAUAAUUCAAGUGAAUAGUCAGUAUGAAGUUUUAUUAUCUUCUACCUUUGGGUGUCUGAUUAAGCAUGACUUGCUGUGAUUGGGAUUUUAAAUACCAGAAGUCUUCCCAAUUACCUCAAUUACCUUUACCCAAGGAAUGAUUGCUAUUUCCAGGUAUGCAUCCUGUUGCCCACAGUUUCUCCCUCAGGUUUUUCUGGCAUCAUUCUUACAUUAAUAGCCCUUACCAAAGCAUACUGUAGACUAACAACUAUCCCACGGUACCUCCUGAGUAUUUUGCAGCAGUGACACAGUUUCUGCAUGUGUUUUCUAACUCUUCUACUCCAUUUUAAGAAUGUUCAGAAGCUUCAUUUCAUUUAAAGCCUUCAAAUGAUAGAAAUUGUGCAUAUCACUUAGAGUGCAUCCUAUCCAAAAAACAUUUCUUAUUUCUUCUCUGGUUAUAUAAACCAUCUGUAAAAGGAGGUUAUAUGAAAAAAUAGAUUAAAAGUUAUUACAAAGUAUUUACAGUAAAACAAGUAGUAAAAUGUGUUAAAUUGUUUCUGUUCUUCAGUUCCCUGUUCUAGUAGCUCUUCUGGGCAUAAUUUAUUUUUGAAAAAAAAAGGGGGGGGGGUAAAUAUGAAAAAUCACUGAAGAAUUUCAAAUAUAUGCCCUGUCAUGCCAUUUUGUAGAGAAUGUUGCCUAAACUGUGUGGAACAUAUCUAAGUUUCUGUGCCAAGAUCUGUAGUAGUAGUGUGCCUAAAUUCCCAUUUACUGAAACAGGACCUGGGUCCUAAGAAAUUAACUCAAGAGAACGUUUUACUUGCACUUGAAACUAUUGGCAGUAUUUUUAGAUUGCAGAGCAGAAUUUUCUUCUUAUGUUUGAGCCUUAAAUAUGUAACUUGUGUAUAUAGUCAGCUGAAAUUACUUUAUAGAUUUUUUGAGAGCCAUAUGCAGACCUUACACAUGUGAAAAACACAUGCAAGCUGUUGCAUAACAGUGAAACAAUAAAAACAUAACCAGGGCCUAUUUUCCUCUUUCAUUCAUUACUAUAUCCCCUUUCUCCCUGAAAGAAAUCCACAAUAAAAUAUUAAUAGCAACAUACUGUUGAAUAAACAUCUGCAGAUGUAAGCAAUAGCCAUUUAAGCUUGAAUAAACACUCAGAACAAGAAAAGUGAGUAUUAAUAAUUAAGUUCAAAAUUACUGAGAAAAGGCAUUGUGAGACUAAUCUGGGAAAUUAUACUUAGUUUUCAGAAGGUAUAUUUUUGAGGAAGUAGUAAAAUCUUUUGCUUUCUUUAGGAGUAGAAGAGAACCUGUCUCCCUCUGCUGGUUUUCAGAGAAAAAAAAAGUUUAUAGAGACUGAAAAAUCGUAGCUGAAAUUUUGAUACAAAUUACCAGACGUUCCAGAAUUAGGGCUUAAAACUUGUUGCCUUUAAAUACAUCAGAGUCACCCUGAGGACAUUAGAACUACCUGUCUUGAUUAGCUGAGGAUUGGUAGAUUUUUGAGUAUUUACUCUGUUUAAGCUGAUACUUUCUCAGUAUAUUUUACAUGAUUUCUUUAUAUGUACAUCUUUAAGAAAGCAUAACAAGAUAAAUUUAAACUAUUUAGCCUUUAAUUCAAACAUUCACUGAAUCUUGUAGCUAUCCUGAAGAGCAGUGUGAUAUUGGAGUUGUAAAUGUAGAUGCAUAAUUUUCCUUUCUUGCGUAGUCUGAGUUAGUGUACUUUAUAAUUCAAAUUAAGCCUUUUUCUUUCAAAUAUGAGUUUCUAAACUGCUCCAUAAAUACAAGUCACAGGCCAUAAGGCUUUUGAAGGCCACACGCACAAGAAGAGCUACAGCACUGAGCAUAGCUUGCCGGUAAUGACAACUGCAUGAGGUUUCUUUGAAUUGUUGCUGGGACUACGAUGUUGAGGCUGGCUGGUCCGGGGUGGGUGCUCGCACCUGGCCAAAAUGCAGCAUUGCCCACCCUGCCGAGCCGGGAGCCCCGCAGUGCCGUUCCCCCAGACCACGAGGCAGUGAGACGCCCGCACGUGGUCUGUGCCAGCGAGAGCGUAUCAGCAGGAGGGGGGGGGAACUUUGUGUUGCUGUCCCCACCCCAAUGAACAAAUGUUUGGGAAUUUCCGUGGAACAGACGUGCUGCACGAAGUCAGUACCAUGUUCUGGUACACAUCACGGUAUCUGCAAAGAGGUUUUUGUCCUUUACGAUAUGUUCCAUCUUCCUAUUGUCAGAGGAAACACAUUUGUCCUUUAAUAAUCCCUGUGCUUCUACUAAGAAUUUCCCAUUCACAAAAAGGACACUCUAACAAUAGACAUCAAGUUUAUUCCUUCCAAUUAGUUAAAGGCAAGUAGCAAUUCCAGUAGUUAAAUUAAGGCAUUAAUCUGUCAAACUUGGAGGGCUUACAUAAAUGCAUUUUAGGGUGAGAAGAAAAUUCAGGCAAUUUUGUUUUUAAAGUGGUUUUUUUGUUGUUGUCGGUUUUUGUUUUUUGGUUUUUUUUACUUCCCACAUCUUAUCUUCACCAAAACACGUUUGUUAUGCUUUGUUACAUGUAGCCGUCCUUUUGAUCUGGGUAUACGCCAAGCUUCCUUGUAUCCUAAGUAUUGUUUUAAAAGGCAUCGGCCAACUGCAGUUUCUCAUAUUUCCAGUUAAUACCAGUGUCAGGAUAGUUAGUUACACAAGUUGAUUUGAUUUUUGCAUAUAUUGUGUUGGAAUUCUUUUGUGAAGUUUGAGUAU